UCUUCCAAGAGACUGUUCACAAGUAGAGGAUCCACAACUUUUGAAGGAUCUGAUCUGGUGGAUACAGCAAGUCUUCAAGAAUCUUUGCAUCAGGCGUCUGUAAAGCUGCAGCUUGUGUUGCAGAACCUACAGCUUGCCCAAGUCCUCAACUCCCCCUGUUCUGCUUCCUCAAACAAAGAAAACAGAUGACCAAUACCUGCACCAUAAUUCUGAGUGAGGAAGUUCUGCUUUCCAAGAUGAUUUACUUCUUUUGGAAUUUCCCCAAAUAUUUUCCUAAUGUCAAUCCAUAUAUUAUAUUGCCCCCUGGCUUUGAAAAGUAUGAAGCACUGUCAGACCCGAUUGUGUUACAGCUUGCACACACCUGGAAC